rnacentral:lncRNA from 1 species
AAAAAAGGAAUGGUUAAGGAUACAAUCAACCAAGAAAUUAGUACUUCUAACUUCUAAGCUCUAUUCGGUAAAAGUAACUAAUAAGUACAAAUAAAUGAUAAUUGAAAUCGUCCAAAUCACUUCGAGAUCUUGUUUUUAGUUUCUAAUCAUUAGAGGUUUGUGUAAAUCCAUAUGAUUCUCAUUAUUCUAUUUCUCUUUCUUUUCAACCAAUCACUCUUUCAUUCCAUCCUUUUUUUUUUACUCUUCAAUAUCCUUGAGUUCCCAUUUUUCCCCUUCAUCUAACAUAAUAAAAGACGAAAUACAUGAAGAACCCCUAUUGAAAUCGAACUAAUUAAAAUCCAAUAGGAAUCAAAUCAAGAUAUACAAUUGAUAACAAUAUGCUGCAUAGAAUUAGAAUUAGAUAUGGAAUCCAGUUCCAUAUAGAAGGGAAUUCUAUAUAUAUCGGAUUAGAUAAUAAAUCUAACUUAGGAAUAAAAAAACCCAUAUACAUUUAUUUCUUCUAUUUUGUUUGCGUAUUUUCUCAUUUUCUAUUGAACCCGAUUCUAAAAUCAUUCCUUAGAAAUCUGCACAAAAGAUUGUAGGCAUUAAGGAUAUAGAUCUAACCUGCUCCCUAAUGCAUAUAUACUUUACCUCUUCCGUAAUAUAUGCUGCGAUGACGUAGGACCAAACACAAAAUCCUAGGUGAUGUUGUCUAGAUUCUCAAACGAUUACUACGUGCGGUCAUGCUCCCCUCACACGGUCAUUUCAAUUAAUAUGCUGGAGUUGAGAGAAGCUCACCUACAAGCCACUUGAGAAGACUAUCAAUAAUUCACUAAAGUGCUAAAAGUGAUAAUCCAAGGUAAUUAGUACUCCUUCCUUUCCAAAUCAUAGGUUAUUUUAGCUUUUCUAGGUUAAUAAAUAUUGUUAUGCAUCUAGAUAGUGUGUAUGUCUAGAUGCAUAAGGUCAGUCCCAACUCUCCA